GACGAACGCUGGCGGCGUGCUUAACACAUGCAAGUCGAACGGGAAGGCCCUGCUUUUGUGGGGUGCUCGAGUGGCGAACGGGUGAGUAACACGUGAGUAACCUGCCCUUGACUUUGGGAUAACUUCAGGAAACUGGGGCUAAUACCGGAUAGGAGCUCCUGCUGCAUGGUGGGGGUUGGAAAGUUUCGGCGGUUGGGGAUGGACUCGCGGCUUAUCAGCUUGUUGGUGGGGUAGUGGCUUACCAAGGCUUUGACGGGUAGCCGGCCUGAGAGGGUGACCGGCCACAUUGGGACUGAGAUACGGCCCAGACUCCUACGGGAGGCAGCAGUGGGGAAUAUUGCACAAUGGGCGGAAGCCUGAUGCAGCAACGCCGCGUGCGGGAUGACGGCCUUCGGGUUGUAAACCGCUUUCGCCUGUGACGAAGCGUGAGUGGCGGUAAUGGGUAAAGAAGCACCGGCUAACUACGUG
rnacentral:rRNA from 1 species